AUUUCCCUCAAUCCCCCUUUAUUUUCUCUUUCAUUUUUCUCUCUCUCUCUCAUCUCUCCCUCUCUUUCUCAUCCCCCCCUUCUGUAUUGGCAUAAAUGGAUGGUUGCCUGUGUUGCCAUAGCAAACAUGUUUUGGCAGCAAUAAUGAUCCAGUAAACAAAAAGAAAGAAAAACGGCUAGCAUGAGAAUCGCAAACGGCAGAGAAAACAAAUGAUCAGCACAUCAGACAUGUAUACAUUGUCUCUCUAUUCCAGUGACUGGCCAGGAUGUGUUCAGCCAGAAGGUCUACUGCCUCGGUGGUUUCUCCUGACAAAGUCCACAAUUUCUCUUCAACAGGGUUCAAGAAAUGAAUGCUGAUGAUAAUAUUCUGGACGCAGUGUGUUCGGUGAGUCCAAAACGUAAUUGUUCUUUUGUCAAUUUCGAGGGCUAAGGGGAAUUUCCCAAUUUCGGCCCAACAGGCUAGGCUGGAUUUAUUUCAGAGGACACCGAGAGUAUUUACACAAUGUUCCAUGUGUAAUAUUUCAGUAGGGCUCUUGUCCCCAGAUAGAUUUCCCCACAUUUCGCUGUCAUAUAGAAGGAUUGGAGAUACACCCACUCCUAUCUCCUUCAGUGUUUCCUCCUUGUCUCUCUCUUUCUCUCAAUAAUUCUCUCACCCCAUUCUCUCUCUCUUUCUCUCGCUCUCUCACAAUCUUUCUGUCUCACCCCAUUCUCUCUCUCUAUUUCUCUCGCUCUCUCACAAUCUUUCUGUCUCACCCCAUUCUCUCUCUCUCUUUCUUAUCUCAAUCCUUCUCUCACCCCAUUCUCUCAGUCCUUCUGUCUCACCCCAUUCUCUCUCUCUCUCCCUUUCUUUAUCUCAAUCCUUCUCUCACCCCAUUCUCUCUCUCAAUCCUUCUGUCUCACCCCAUUCUCUCUCUCUCUCUGAGCCCCAUCCUUUCUUUCUUCUUAGGCAGUGACAGAAUGGAUAAGACACAGGUAUGCGAGGUAUGCGAUGUCCUGAUCCAUAAACAUUCUCCCACCUUUGGGCUCCAUGUGAAAUACUGGAUAGAUGUUUAAUUUCAUUUACAGUAGUACAUUUCUGUUCAUCUGCAUUAAGUCAGUUUUAAUGAGGAGGUGGUCGAAUACCAGGGGGAUUCCUUUAUAUAGUCCUCAUUUUAGUAGUAACCUUUCUCAGUGCAACAGGACAGCUGCUGGAUUGGGCGUUCUCUGGAGAAAAAACCCUGGCUGACACCUUGACAAUAAGAAAGUGUAAUUUAUAAUGUCACUGUAAUUUGGUUUGUUCUAUCUAUUUGCUUAUAUAAAUCAUUGGACAUACAGGUGAAAUGUUUGUAAUAGCGUUACAUUAAGGUUUAUGAUGUCCCACAAUUACAUCAUUUGUCGAAUCACUGCAUUCACUGAACCCUGAAAUAACAGAAUUCUGACCCAUUUGGUGAAUUUAUGUUUUGAGAAGACAGGUUAGGUGGCAGUCCAUCCGUGCAAACCUUCCACAGUCCACAGAGUUGGGCAAAUAAGAAAAAUAAAAUGGAUUUCCUGAUUUAUUGGUAGAUGAUUUCAUGUCAUCGCGUUGGAUACAACUCGAAUGGGGCCCAAAUUCCUGCAAACAUAGUGCACCGCUUCACCAUAGAUCCAGGUCAAAAGUAGUGCACUCUAUAGGGAAUUUGAGGGUGCCAUUUGGGACUACACCAGAAUGACUACACCCCCCCCCCCCCCCGCCUCUGGUUCUGUAACGGUGGGCUUGAGGAUAUCUGAGGCAUGGAAGGAGAAGGGACUCGGAGAUUCCAGCCUCACAUUUCUCCCUCCCUCAACCAUGUCUGCAGCCCCUCUGAUAAAUUGAGCAGGGCGUGUGAUGAAGUGACAGUCGGAGGUGAGGAAUGGAAACCAUUUAAUUGAUGCCGGUGUCCGGAUGAAUAAUCAACAACGCAGUCCACGCAAAAUGGGUCUCCAGGCCCUCAACAUAGGAGCUGUAGCGCAAUAAAGUGUUUGGAGGAACGUGCAAAGAGGAGCCUGGCUCAUCAAACUGGUGUGGUAAUGUGUACUACUAUGUCAACACAACUGGACAAUUUGCCGCGGACAUAAGGGGUCAAAGGAGCUAGUUCUGUGUAGCUAGCUAUGUUUGUAUUGAGUUGUCUGCACUUUUGGGAAGCUUCAACAAAGCAAGGCAUUUCAUUGGGUUGAUUGUGUUGUGAGGCUCCAACCGUGGCUGAAACGCCUGAACUCAAUUUAGGACAGUCAGAGGUGAGAAAUGGAAAGGGACACCAUUUAAUGUCCAUAAGAACAGUCCCUGUGAUGGAAACUCAGCACUUGUUGAAGGUCAGCUAAGACGGCGCUCGUAACGGGUGCCCAAGCUUUGACCCGCUUUAUAAAACCCAAUGGAAACAUUUUAAAAGAUGUUCAAUUCGGGAACAGCCAGCUGAUCGUAGAUGGUACUAAUCUGUAUCACUCUCUUUAUUUCAGGAGAUUAGGACGCUUUUGGGGACCUGAUCAGAUUUUAAUCAGGUCCUUUCCAGCCUGAAUGCACCUUUGGCACAGUGCAUCAAGUGAGGCAGACCAAGAAAUAGCCGUUCUGGUGUGAAUAUGGACCUGUCCCCUGUUGCCCGAUGACACUGACUUUUACAUUGUUGACAUCCCUGAAGGAUUUCUGCCCCUCUCUGGUUUUGACUGAUUCAGCCAGGUGUCAGGAGGUCAGCCAUGCCUUCAGUCAGUGAUGGAGAAUGGAUGUGACCCCAGAUUCUCUCCUGAUGGCGGAGCCCUUCCUCUAUGGAGCUCCACAGAACCAUACUGGACGCUCUACUAAAUUUCAAACAGACCGGAUGGCCCCUCUGCAGAAUCAGGUCUGUUUCAAGUUCCUCUGGGUUUAGCCGAGCGUCCAGCAUGGUUCUGUAGAGUGCCACAGAGGAGGGGUCUUCCAUCAGGGGGAGCUGAAUCUGGAGCUGAAGAAGGAAAAUUAUUUUGAUGGUGAAAAAUGCAGCUGAAGUCUGAACUCCCACCACAAGGAGAAGAUAAAAACCUUUGGGUAUCCAUGUUUAUGAUAUCAGUAUAACUGUACUGAGAGAUCUUUAACUCCCACCUCCGGCAGAGUUUCGACUGGAUCCCGAGGGAGGUUGGAGAUAUUGAGUCCGAGUGGACCAUGUUCUCCACCGCCAUUGUCGAAGCGGCCGCUCGGAGCUGUGGCCGUAAGGUCUCCG
ensembl:lncRNA